GAGUUUGAUCGUGGCUCAGAUUGAACGCUGGCGGCAUGCCUUACACAUGCAAGUCGAACGCGAAAGCGGGGCAACCCGCAAGUAGAGUGGCGAACGGGUGAGUAAUACAUCGGAACAUAUCCAGUAGCGGGGGAUAACCUGUCGAAAGAUAGGCUAAUACCGCAUACGCCCUACGGGGGAAAGCGGGGGUCGCAAGACCUCGCACUAUUGGAGUGGCCGAUGUCGGAUUAGCUAGUUGGCGGGGUAAAAGCCCACCAAGGCGACGAUCCGUAGCUGGUCUGAGAGGACGACCAGCCACACUGGAACUGAGACACGGUCCAGACUCCUACGGGAGGCAGCAGUGGGGAAUUUUGGACAAUGGGCGCAAGCCUGAUCCAGCCAUGCCGCGUGAGUGAAGAAGGCCUU
rnacentral:rRNA from 1 species